AUCGACGCGGGUCGAAGUGUAGUAUCUGUUCUUAUAACCUUAACCUUAGUAUCUGAUACGGGUUGUAUUUGAACUUAAGAUAUUAAACUUAUUUUUGCAAGUUGGCGGAGUGCUUAAAGCCUGCUUCACCUGCGCCGCGGGCCGGUCUGGUAUUGCACUAUCUUCGGCAUCGGCCCACGUUUG